GUUUCCUUUGACUUGUGAUUAGACAAAGAAAUAGGGACAUCCUCUCACAUUCAGUAUAAAAUGUUUACUCACUUGACACUGUUUAUUUUGGCUUUCUUGGCUGCAAGAACAGCUUCUUACGAAUGUUUCACAUGUGAAAAUAUUGACAAUCCUGAUGAUUGUCAUAACAUAACAGCAAGUGGCAACCAACAG